rnacentral:rRNA from 1 species
GAGGAGCUUGCUUCUCUGGAUGAGUUGCGAACGGGUGAGUAACGCGUAGGUAACCUGCCUGGUAGCGGGGGAUAACUAUUGGAAACGAUAGCUAAUACCGCAUAAGAGUGGAUGUUGCAUGACAUUUGCUUAAAAGGUGCACUUGCAUCACUACCAGAUGGACCUGCGUUGUAUUAGCUAGUUGGUGGGGUAACGGCUCACCAAGGCGACGAUACAUAGCCGACCUGAGAGGGUGAUCGGCCACACUGGGACUGAGACACGGCCCAGACUCCUACGGGAGGCAGCAGUAGGGAAUCUUCGGCAAUGGACGGAAGUCUGACCGAGCAACGCCGCGUGAGUGAAGAAGGUUUUCGGAUCGUAAAGCUCUGUUGUAAGAGAAGAAUGAGUGUGAGAGUGGAAAGUUCACACUGUGACGGUAUCUUACCAGAAAGGGACGGCUAACUCUGUGCCAGCAGCCGCGGUAAUACAGAGGGUGCAAGCGUUAAUCGGAAUUACUGGGCGUAAAGCGCGCGUAGGUGGUUAUUUAAGUCAGAUGUGAAAG